GACGAACGCUGGCGGCGUGCUUCAUACAUGCAAGUCGAACGAGAAGCUGACUUCGGUCAGUGGAAAGUGGCGGACGGGUGAGUAAUAUGUAGGAAAUCUGCCUUUAGGAGGGGGACAACAGAGGGAAACUUCUGCUAAUACCCCAUAUGAGCGUAGCUGAAAUGCUAUUCUUGAAAACUCCGGUGCCUAAAGAUGCGCCUGCAUCUGAUUAGCUAGUUGGUAGUGUAAUGGACUACCAAGGCGACGAUCAGUAGCUGGUUUGAGAGGAUGAUCAGCCACAAGGGGACUGAGACACGGCCCAUACUCCUACGGGAGGCAGCAGUAGGGAAUUUUGCGCAAUGGGCGAAAGCCUGACGGAGCAACGCCGCGUGAACGAUUAAGCCCUUCGGGGUGUAAAGUUCUGUCAGUGGGGACGAAACUUGACGGUACCCACAGAGGAAGCACCGGCUAACUCCGUG
rnacentral:rRNA from 1 species